rnacentral:rRNA from 1 species
CGUAGGGGGCUAGCGUUGUCCGGAUUUAUUGGGCGUAAAGCGCGUGUAGGCGGCCAGAUAGGUCUGCUGUGAAAACUCGAGGCUCAACCUCGAGCUGUCGGCGGAAACCAUCCGGCUAGAGUCCGGAAGAGUAGAGUGGAAUUCCCGGUGUAGCGGUGAAAUGCGCAGAUAUCGGGAAGAACACCUGUGGCGAAGGCGGCUCUCUGGGACGGUACUGACGCUGAGACGCGAAAGCGUGGGGAGCAAACAGGAUUAGAUACCCUGGUAGUCCACGCCGUAAACGAUGGGUGCUAGGUGUGGGGAGUGUCGACUCUCUCCGUGCCGAAGCUAACGCAUUAAGCACCCCGCCUGGGGAGUACGGCCGCAAGGCUA